GGCCAGACUCCUACGGGAGGCAGCAGUGAGGAAUAUUGGUCAAUGGCCGAGAGGCUGAACCAGCCAAGUCGCGUGAGGGAAGACGGCCCUACGGGUUGUAAACCUCUUUUGUCGGGGAGCAAAGCGAACCACGUGUGGUUCAUUGAGAGUACCCGAAGAAAAAGCAUCGGCUAACUACGUGCCAGCAGCCGCGGUAAUACGUAGGGGGCAAGCGUUAUCCGGAUUUACUGGGUGUAAAGGGAGCGUAGACGGCAGAGCAAGUCUGAAGUGAAAGCCCGCGGCCCAACUGCGGGACUGCUUUGGAAACUGCCCGGCUAGAGUGCUGGAGAGGUAAGCGGAAUUCCUAGUGUAGCGGUGAAAUGCGUAGAUAUUAGGAGGAACACCAGUGGCGAAGGCGGCUUACUGGACAGUAACUGACGUUGAGGCUCGAAAGCGUGGGGAGCAAACAGGAUUAGAUACCCUAGUAAC
rnacentral:rRNA from 1 species